CGUUAGCAACUAACGGCAGCACCCGGUCGUUGACUAACCUGAUCUCGGAUUCGGUCCUGUUGACCCCGCCGAAAUACGCCUGGUGCAAUAUCAGCCCUCGGAUUUUGAUCGGGGAGAGGUCCAUAUCGGAAGCGCGUAGACCCGCGUGGUAGGCGAUAUUGGAUCCCGCGCUAGUUCCCAUGAUGAAACACUUGGAGAAAUCAACGGAGUUUUUCAGCCACGAAUCUCCGUCGGCAGAGGAGGCCUGGUUUUUGAGCCAGGUGAUGGCCGAAACGGCGUCGUCGUAGGCGGCGGGGAGGCGGUGCUCGGGGGCGAGACGGUACUCGACGGAGAGGACUAGGGCUGGGAUGGAGAGGGCGAGACGAGAGCAGCAGUGGUGGAAAGGCUGAGAGGCGGCGCUCCAGAUGAUGAAGCCGCCGCCGUGGAUGUAGAUGAGGAGAGGGAGGUUAGGGUUUGGGUUUGGGUUUGGGGGGAGAUUGAGGGGUUUGAAGAGGCGAAGGGAGGUUUGGGAUUUUGGGUCGAGAGGGAUGUCCUUGGAGAGGACGAGUUGGGAUGAGUUGGGAUCAGAAUAGGCAGGGAUUGACUCGGUUGUGGGUGCGAUUGGGAGUGGGGCGAGGCGGGUGAGUGAGCCAUCUGGGUUGGGAACGAUUUUGAGGAACUUGUAGGGUUCGAUUGAGGAUUGUUGAUCUGCCAUUGUUGGGGGUGACUGGUGAGAGUGCGUUUGUGAAAGAGAAGGGUUUGUGUACCGUGGAGAUCGAAGAUUAAAAUGAGGGUUGAUGAUGGUGGUUGGGGAAAUUUUUGAGGAGCGGGGUAGG
rnacentral:lncRNA from 1 species